rnacentral:rRNA from 1 species
GAUGAACGCUGGCGGCGUGCCUAAUACAUGCAAGUCGAACGGCAGCACGGGUGCUUGCACCUGGUGGCGAGUGGCGAACGGGUGAGUAAUACAUCGGAACGUACCUUAUCGUGGGGGAUAACGCAGCGAAAGCUGUGCUAAUACCGCAUACGCCCUGAGGGGGAAAGCGGGGGAUCGCAAGACCUCGCGCGAUUAGAGCGGCCGAUGCCUGAUUAGCUAGUUGGUGGGGUAAAAGCCCACCAAGGCGACGAUCAGUAGCUGGUCUGAGAGGACGAUCAGCCACACUGGGACUGAGACACGGCCCAGACUCCUACGGGAGGCAGCAGUGGGGAAUUUUGGACAAUGGGGGCAACCCUGAUCCAGCAAUGCCGCGUGAGUGAAGAAGGCCUUCGGGUUGUAAAGCUCUUUUGUCAGGGAAGAAACACCGGCUCUAACACAGUCCGGGAAUGACGGUACCUGAAGAAUAAGCACCGGCUAACUACGUGCCAGCAGCCGCAGUAA